UACGUAGGGUGCAAGCGUUUGUCCGGAAUUAUUGGGCGUAAAGAGCUCGUAGGCGGUCUGUCGCGUCUGCUGUGAAAACUCAGGGCUUAACCCUGAGCUUGCAGUGGGUACGGGGCAGACUAGAGUGCGGUAGGGGAGAUUGGAAUCCUGGUGUAGCGGUGGAAUGCGCAGAUAUCAAGAGGAACACCGGUGGCGAAGGCGGAUCUCUGGGCCAUUACUGACGCUGAGGAGCGAAAGCGUGGGGAGCGAACAGG
rnacentral:rRNA from 1 species